rnacentral:rRNA from 1 species
UACGGGGGGAGCAAGCGUUGUUCGGAUUUACUGGGCGUAAAGGGCGCGUAGGCGGCCUCUGCAAGUCGACUGUGAAAUCUCCGGGCUUAACCCGGAAAGGUCAGCCGAUACUGCAGGGCUAGAGUGCAGAAGGGGCAAUCGGAAUUCUUGGUGUAGCGGUGAAAUGCGUAGAUAUCAAGAGGAACACCUGAGGUGAAGACGGGUUGCUGGGCCAACACUGACGCUGAUGCGCGAAAGCCAGGGGAGCAAACGGG